rnacentral:lncRNA from 1 species
CCUCCCAUGUUAACACUAUUGUUUCUUUCUGUUUACUUUCAGUUGGUUGGCAGAGAAUUUGAACUGGAGAUGAACUUUAUUAUCCAGGAUGCUGAGAGUAUAACAUGCAUGACAGAGCUUUUAGAGCACUGUGAUGUAACAUGUCAAGCAGAAAUAGGGAGCAUGUUUACAGCCAUUCUAUGAAAAAGUGUUCGGAAUGUACAGACUAGCACAGAAGCUGGACUAAUUGAACAAGUAUUGCUGAAAAUGAGUGCUGUAGAUGACAUGAUAGCAGAGUACCUUCAAGUUUAAAUCUGAGAGUGAUAUUCAUUUGGCAGAACAUCAUAAACAGGUUUUGUAUGAUGGGAAACUUGCAAGUAGCAUUACCUUUACAUAUACUGCUAAGGCCACUGAUGCUCAACUCUGCCUGGAAUCAUCACCAAAAGAGAAUGCAUCAAUUUUUGUGCAUUCCCAACAUGCUCUAAUGCUUCAGAUUCAAGUGCUUUUUCCACUGUUUCCCCAAUUGGAUAAUCGGCAGCUCAAUGACAGUCAAGUGGAAACAACUGUCUGCUCCUGCUUCAGGUGCAGAAAUACAGCGAUUUCCAGUGCCAGCUGUUGAGCCAGUGCCAGCACCAGGGGCAGAUUCCCCUCCAGGGACAGCGCUGGAGCUAGAGGAAGCUCCAGAGCCCUCCUGCCGCUGCCCUGGGACUGCCCAGGACCAGCCCAGUGAGGAGCUGCCUGACUUCAUGGCACCUCCUGUAGAGCCACCGGCCUCAGCCCUGGAGCUGAAAGUGUGGCUGGAGCUAGAGGUGGCAGAGAGGGGUGGCCAGCACAGCUCCAGCCAGCAGCUCCCACACUGCUCCCAGUCCUGGGCACAGUGGAAGCUAUGGAGGCAGAGACCAGGGUUUGCAAUCUGGGCUCCUCUGCCUCACUGGAGAGGGACUUCUCUCAUUCAGCAGAGCAGCAGCCCUGCUGCUGAAGGGCCUGCUGCUACUGCUGCUGGGGCUGUUUGCCUGCCUGCAGGAGGUGCUGGAGAGCAAGAAAAGGAGCCUGUGAGCAGGGGUUCCAGCAGGUCCUCCUGCUCCCAGAGGCGACCUCCUCCUCCAGGCAUGGAGGUUUGCCCUCAGCUGGGCAUCUGGGCCAUUUGCCCCUAACGUGCUGCCCAGGAUGGCCUCCUCUUGACAGGCGGACAGGGGGUGAGGGGGCCAGGGGGCAUCUCCAAAGGAAGCUUUUAAACUCAGCAGCUGCACCCCAGAAUCUGUAUGCCUGCACCUGCCCAAGGAUUUAUUCAUAGCUUACCUAAGAAUUUCAAAUUUCUACCAUAACACUGAAUAAAGUUUGACUUUUUGAAACUUC